rnacentral:tRNA from 1 species
CGUUGUAGCUCAGUGGAAGAGCGAUUCCGGUCUUAGUGCCGGAAUAGGUCGUGAGUUCAAUUCUCAUCAGCGGUA